rnacentral:lncRNA from 1 species
UCCUGGUCCUUCAGCAUCAUGGGCUCAAUGAUAAGCCCAAUUUGUUAGCAUGGGACAUAUACAAGCAUACUAUUCAAAGGCCCAUGUGCCAAAUAUUAGCAACAAUUAAAGUCAAAUUCAUGUUAAAAUGGGCGUAUCCAAUAAGAGUAUCUUCCGAAUGGGUCAAAACAAAGCUAUAUUCGAAACAAGAACAAUAAACAUCAUAUGGCAGACCACAGUAUUCCCCGUUUUUAAACUAAUACUUAAAACAUAGAUUAUGCAAUAACAACUACUGAACCCAAGAAAAUUUUAAAUAGUUAUCCCAUAAAAGAUUAAGCUAAUAUUGUCACUUUUUAUUUCAAUCUUAAGCAUGACUAUAUCACCAUAUGUUGUGAUUUCAAACUAUAAAACCACAGACCUACUUAAGUAUCCUUCAUGCAUAUUUAACAAUCAUUGUUCACAUGAGUGUUCAUUUACUAUUAUAGAACUAAGUGUCCAGCGUUUUCUAGAUUGCUAAAUACAAGUUCAAAUCAUAGAGCAUGGCUUGACAUAUUCAACAUGAGCACAAGAAACUAUGUCAUAAUAGGAACAUAAGAGUGUAAACAAUUAGAGUUGAUAGCCUUCUAAUGAUCAAACAUAGUUUUUGUUGAAACUACAGCAUGAAUAUCAAACUCUAGAUACAGUUCUAGUCUGGUUGCAGAUUGUAGCACUUCAUCUAUUAGCUAAUGGUAUGGAGAAAUACCUGAAAUGUGAAAAAAGUACAGCAAAGUAGUCAAAGACCAGUAAAUAUGAAAUAACAGCCAGAAAAUAGAGUCGGAAUUGCAUUUGAAAAACUAAGAAGUUUAUGUUUGAAACCCAAUCUUACGCUCAGUUGAAGACCAACAGUAUAAUGAAUCUCCUGAUUUGCUUCAAAACCAAAUUCAACUCAUUGUUUAACCUUGAGAUCUAGAGAAGGAUUUCCGAACUUGACAGGAUUCUCAGCUAUUUUUUGCGUAUUUUCUCAGUAACUUUUUUGCUCUCUAAAACUAUCUCACAUAACUUUUAAAAGACUCUCAGAUCUGGAAAUUUUUUUUGAUCUUAGAACUUCAGAUUUUUAAACUUUAGAUAUGAAAUUUUCCCUCUCCAAGAUUUCAAUAUUUCAAUACUUUUGGAUUUCGAAUUUCAGACUGCCCCAAAACGUAUCUUACAAGGCACGGUACACUGCCUUUUAUAGGAAAAUACUAGGGCAUAUUUCAGAUUUUUACUUUACACUUUAUCCCCCCCCCCCCUUUAAUUUUAACUGUUUGCUUAAAAGUACUUGAGGGACUGGCUUGUUACCAAAGUUAUACCACCCAAUUUCCUUAAUUUCAAAUUAGAACUCCAAUCUAGAAGGUUCUAUUUUUAGUUACUUCAAGGUUCUCUAUUUUCUUUCCUAAACUGCCCUUCAUAAAUAUGAGAAUUAAACAUGACCCUGUUAUGGCCCUUGAAAGGUCUCCAAUGGGUCAACUUAUGAACCACACCUUCUUUAACUUAUGGGCCUGAAUAAUGUAGCCCAAUUCCAGCAACUUUAACAGUCAUCGAGCCAUAAGGCUUUGAAUAGAGUUGUCUGGGCCAAAGAAAAUAGAAGCAAGAAAGGACAAGGACAUUGAAUCCAAAGAGCUCAAAUGAUUGGACCAAAACAUUAAUCGAUUUAAUUAAUCUAGCCAUAACUAUGAACCAAGCAAGCUGCGUAAAAAUAUUCGAACAAGACCUAUUUCAUCUGACCCAAAUUAUAUCUAAUGACCUAAUCCAAACGAACAUUGAAAGGAAAAGACAUAAAAUAGAAGAAAGUGAAUACUUACUGGAUAUACGACUUACAAGAAAUAGAACUGGUGCAAAAGGCCUUGACUCGAUGAUGUGAACUAUUACAUUGAGCAAUGGCCUGGAUUCUUCCAAUGGCUCGUGCUCUUUUGCACAGUUCCCAUUACGAGCCAAGAAUGAAGGUGAAACGGAGAUAACGUCCCAUCAGAAAUUUAUGACCAUACCUGGCCAUUCUGUGCAAACAAACCUCUAACCCCAUGGCUUUCCAUCAAAGUUAAUCUAUGUGCAAAAUAUCAAGAAGAAACCAGAUCGGAGCAUGAAAGAGAGAAGAAGAACAGUAUUUCAGUGCUUUCUUCGAUCUUUGAUUUGAAGAGGAGGGGUGGUUUUGAAAAGGAAAUAACAGUUUAUUUGGAAUAGAUAUAUGAAAGUUGUUAUUUGAUCAAGUUUUCAGGGGAAUUGGAGGUCAGUCACUGCUGCAUGGCGAUUUCCAGUAGCGGCAGGGAUGGUGAGAGAUAAGAGUGGAAGAGGCGACAUAGGAUGGGGGUCCUAGGUUAAUGUUGUCGUGUUUGGACAUAUAUAAUUAAAAUGGAAGAAGUGAUUGGAGACCUUAGAUGAGGUAAAAAGACAUUUGGGCUAGUUUUGGGUGUUUGAAAAGGUUUCAGGUGUCAAUUGAUU